GUUAGUGUGGCAUAGUGGUUUGGAUGUUGGGCUAUGACUCUGGAGAUCAGGGUUCAAUUCCCAGCUCAGCCA